rnacentral:lncRNA from 1 species
GUCCGUCUCCUAGUUUUCUGUCCAGAUCUCGGUUACAAAGUUUAUCCAUUUUUUUAAUUAAACGAAAAAUUAUUCUAAUUCCAUUUUACAGGCCUAAAAUAUUUAACUGUGCCUUGAACGUUUUGAGUCUUCAACAGUGAGAGACAUUAAAAUAUAUUAUUGAACACAUUAUUUCCACAUCUUACUAAGAAAAUAAUUAGCUUAAUUGUUUAAUUGGCUAGCCCCAGUUCAAAAGAAAACCUGGAGAUGCACUUAGCUCUCCAGUGACUGGAAUGGGGCUUGAGACUCCUGGUCUAGGAGAACUGGCCCAUCAACAGGCCACAGCAGGGAUGCUGGGGAUCAUGAAGCUGGAUAGCUGAAGGCUGGACACUGCUUCUGGUUCGAGGAAGACAGACCACUGUGAUUUAGGGUCAUCUUGGCCCAUGAUGAUGAUGAUGAAGGUGUGUUUGUGUGCCUGGCUGGUAACUCUGUUUCCUCCUCCCCAGCACUGCCGGGAGAGACUCACUCAAGACAAGAGAGGAAAGGACAAGCAGGGAGAGGGGCUUCACACUGAUGCCUGGGGCAGAUCCCAAAGAAAUAGACGGACGUGACCCUGAAAGGCCAGAGAGGGGCGACCGAUACAGGGGCUGUGAGCAAAGACUCUUCCAGAGUAAGACAACCAGUGUGUACUGCUCAGGAUGAUGAUGGUGAUGCAGAUGAUAGUGAAGAUAAUUAAGGUAGUCUUGAUGAUGAUGGUCUUGAUGAAAAAGCUGUUGAUGAUGAUGGUGGACAUGAUGAUGUUCAUGAUGAAGAAGGAUAUGGUGAUGAAGAUGGUGUAGUUGAUCAUUUAUUAGAAUGGUGAU